AGCAAACAAAAGUUUAAUUCAUUAAAAAUAUCAACAAAAAACAAUGAUAGAUAGACCUAACCUAUUACGAUUAUACAAUUAUAAAAGGCGAGAAGGGACACCUUCCCCCAAACAAAGUAGUAAUGCUUAAGAUCUAAGGAAAUAAUAUUGUUAAUACAACAAUCGUCUUCUCUUAAGAUAUGAAAAAUAAUAAAGUGUACAUUUUUAGAUUUCUUAAUACAAUUUCUCCACCUAUUUCUUAGCCUCCAAGGAACAAUCUCUUCAUUUUUUAAAAUAAGAGUCACUAAUUUAGAGUCUGUUUCGAACCAAAUAGAUAUUCAACCUUUUGAAAAAAAAAACUAUCUCAAUUGCAUGCAUAGCUCCAAUGAGUUAUGAAUGAAAAACAGUUGAGAUGUUUUAUGUUUUGAGCAAAUCAUCCCACAACGACAUGUUUUGAGCAAAUC
rnacentral:lncRNA from 1 species